GCCGGGGUGGCGGAACUGGCAGACGCAGCGGGCUUAAAACCCGCGGCCCUCGGGCUUGAGGGUUCGAAUCCCUCCCCCGGCACCA
rnacentral:tRNA from 1 species